rnacentral:rRNA from 1 species
CCCUUAGAUGUUCUGGGCUGCACGCGCGCUACACUGAAGCUAUCAACACGUUUUCCCUCCCUGAGAAGGGCGGGUAACCUUUUGAAUCAGCUUCGUGGUAGGGAUCGGGGCUUGCAAUUGUUCCCCGUGAACCAGGAAUUCCUAGUAGACGCGAGUCAUAAGCUCGCAUCGAUUAAGUCCCUGCCCUUUGUACACACCGCCCGUCGCUACUACCGAUUGAACGUUUUAGUGAGGCAUUUGGACCGACGCAUCUCAGUUUAACCGCUUGUUUGUGUUGGAAAGACUUCCAAACUUGAGCGUUUAGAGGAAGUAAAAGUCGUAACA